GCUGCAGCUAUUUGCUAUUUUUGUUAUAUUGGUGCAGAACUUUUAUUACAUACCUGACUGUAGUCAAAUGCCUUAUAAUCUAAACUAUCACUUGGUAAACUUUGGAAGAUGUGAAUAAAUUAACAAUUGGAUGCAGUUUGCAGUCGUUCUCACUGGGUUUUUAUUUUAUAGAUUAAGUAAAAAAUUGUCACUGGUUAAGCUGUCAAUAGAACAUGUGUGAAAUGGGUCUUGUUGGAAAUAUCACACGCCAUCAAAAGCUUGGCUGGUGUUUGCACUGUGUCUUAAUGGCACCACUUGAAAUGUCAAGAUUAUUAUCGGUGGUGAGCUCAAUGGUGUUUGGAUGCCUUGUGAUUUUCUUCAGUAUUAAUGCACCUAUGUAGGUGAAAAGAAAAGAAAAAAAGUGCCAGUGGUUACUUUCAAUUAUGUCCUUUUUCAUAUUUAAUGGUGUUUAUCUGAGUGAAAGGUCAGCAGUGCUGUGUUUGUGUGCUUUUCCUAAUGCUGUGGGAGGCAUCUGGUACCCUGCUGCUUAGCCUGUUCUGUCUCUUUAAAAAUGCACAGCGUUACGCCACAGGGAGCAGUGACCCCCAUGACGCUAACCUAUUGAGCGGUAAAUAUCAGGUGAUCACGUCUCUACCUGAGAGUCUCUGUGUGUUUUAGUCUCUACUUGUGUGACGUGUGCAUGCUUUGUGGAAAAAGAGAGAGACAAUUCAGGGAUAUACAAACUCCACUCUGUUCUAAUGAGCUAGCUGUGCUGCUCCUCUAGCUCUGUCUCUCGGGUCCUCCUGCCGGCUCACCACUAAAAGGUCAGAACCCUACUGUCUAGUUCUCACUGCCACUCGGAACCACCAAACAUUUACAAGUCAACAAAUUUCACAAUGAAAACAGCCCUAAAGUCUCACAAGACCGCAAGGAUCCCCAAAACUGAAUGUUGGUGGAUUGCUUCAGAGUUGGAAACAGAUUCCACGUAUUACUGAAGUAAUCAAAACAAAGAUUAAAAUAAACUGAGGCUGAUUGUCACGGCUGUUCAAAGACUCCACCAACUGGCACUAGGAUUUGUGAUUCAAGAGGAGUGAAGCUGUUGGACUCAUGUUUUCUUAAAAAAAAAAAAAGCCUUUUAAAACACUGAUGCUGUCAACUGCAAACAUUGUGCUGCAUGUGGUAUCAACCUAGUUUUUUUUUUUUUUUUUUUUCUUGUGCACCUCUUUUUGCUCCCAUGAAAGCACAGCGCACCAAUAAUAUUCUGGUCUCAACAUGUCCAUCAAGCAGGCUUAUCAGGUAACGGCUGUCCUCGCUGUACAUCUAAAUAAUGACUUCACAUCAUAAACACAGCAGGAGCGAUAAAAACACAAAAAGGGAAACGCAUUUCCUCACAUUGCGCUCUCUGUCUGAUCAGAGUAUAUUGGCCUUCUUAAAAGCUACAACAGUAUCUCGCUCUGUCAGUGAGAAAUCACAUCAUUGACUUCAUUUCUGCAAGUGAUGUGGUUAUUUUUAAUGCACGACAGGUUGUAAAAGAUGGCUGAAUGAUUCACCCCUUCAGAUGACUCACUGAACAACGAAAAGCAUUGAUAGUUAUUUAAAAUGUGGAAGUGCAAUUGUAGCAGAUGUUUUGUUGUAAAAAAAAAAAAAUGCACGUUGCUCAUUUGUAAUUUGUAUCGGGAAGGAAAAUUUGUGCUUUCUUAUACAUUAAUGCAUAUAUAUAUUUUUUUUUCAAUAAUAAAUUUUAGAAGUGGAAUGUUGUUUCCACUCCAAAGACAGGGGUGCUCGCCAUAUGCUCUCUCUCCACGGGGGCAGUCCAUGUUACAGAUAAAUGGCUAUAUAUUUUUAAGUGAACAAAAUUAAACACUCGAAGAAUCAGUCACGUGCAAUGAAUCUACAUCAUUUACUUUUUGAAUUUAGCUAAAUAAAAUAUUUCAGUCAUGUAAUUUAUUCAGAUUUAACCUGCAUGUAAAAUUUUAUCUGUGUAAAUUUAAGAUCGACAGAUAAAUUUAAAUUUGUGAACUUUGUUCAAAACGUAAAAGAGCAGCUCAAAUAUCAUGUUGAUGAGUAAACUACUGACCUGAACUGUAUCCUUUAGGGUUCAAUGACUACAGUAGGAAAUUAAAUAAUACAGCUCGCUAUCAUUCUCAAACAGACAUGGCGUUUCCACAUCCAGAUGCCCAGAUAAAGUGAAAGAGGAUAAAAACAGAGAGAAUAUAUUAAGUAGAGAAAGAAGUUGGAGAGAGUUUUUUUUUUGGUGUUUGUCAAAAUACAUCUCUUCCUCAGUCUGAAGACAAAUGCAACUGGAUGUUCUGAGCAGACGUAAAUCAGGGUUUUUGUUUUGUUUUUGUUUUUUUUGUUUUUUUACGUAGAUUGAGUCGUCACUUAUGUUCUUAUUUAUUUUCUCGCUGUCAAGAGACUUAAUUUGGCUCUAAAAGCCUACAAAUCAAAGUACAUGCGUUUUUAUUUUGUUGAAGAUUUUAUCAAGUUAGAGAAUGUGUUUCAGGAGUAAUUUCUGAGUGUAACGCUUAUCUUUCAAUUUAAUUGCACCACGUGUUCUGUUUGUAGGGUUUGAAUGAUCCAAAAUGCUAAUCAGCCUACUGUGAAAUUAGGUUAUAUCAUCCCCGCACAAGACUACAGUAUGUGAGGGAUGGGUGGGAGAAGAAGACAAAGAGCAGCAAUAGGAGAUCAAAAGCACUCUGUAAUAAUAAGAGUCUCUCUUUCCAUAUCCUCUCUCUCUCUCUCGCCCUCUAAGUUUGUCCUCUCUCUCUUCCUCUUUCUUCCCCUCUCUUUCCUCCUCUCGCUGCCUCUGAAUGGGAGAUGACGCUUCAGAUAUUAGUGAGCUGUGUCAGACAGUUAAACUGCCCUUUAUCGAUCCUCUACGCUUCAAUCUUUCCAAGCAGCCGUUAUGGUUUUAAUGGCCUGUAAUGGAGCUGGGUCUUCUUUGAUGUCCAAUUGCUCAGCAGGCCCUUGUUUUUGAUAGAGUUUCAAAGGAUGCUCCGAACAGAGCGGCACAUUUUCUACACAAAUUCUUAGUUCAAUGAGGUUCUCAAUGUCUCAAUCUCGGGGGGAAAAAAAAAAAAAAAAAUGAAAAAAAAUUCAAAAGAAGAGGAAGGUAAACGGAGAACAGAUAUCUGAGAUUUUUUUUCUCCAGACUUACUGGAAGCUUA